AAAACCAGUUAUUUUCAAAAGAAGCUAAGGGAAAGAAUACCGGAUGUAAGGCAUUUUGCAAGAUUCCAAAUGCCAUAGAAAUCUUACAAUGGAAUGGAUUGCUUUGUUAGCAAACAAGGGCUGCUUAACUCUGAUUUGCUAAGGGUUUUUCAUGUCAGCACUCAUUUCGGAGCACACUUCUUCACUUGUAAAUUGGUAUUUUAAGAGAAACCAUUUCAAACCAGGAGGUGUAAAAUCCUUUGCAACCAAUGGACAUUGCUCCAAGCUUAAACACUGGCAAAUGACUUUUCCCCCUGAGGACAUCUUCGGCUCUCUCUCUGAUGUGCCAUACACACUGCUUCCUAAAAGAGAUGAAUGUUGACUGAGAGACUUUGGAAGUAUCUCUGGAGCUUUUCCUUGAAUAAUAAGAGUCCUUUCUCUCCUAAGGCACCCAGGGCAAGAUUAUGAACUUAUGUAUGUAUGAACUAAUUAUGUAAUUAAUAAAGAUUAAUUGGUGUUGAUGCUUAA